rnacentral:rRNA from 1 species
ACGAACGCUGGCGGCGUGCUUAACACAUGCCAGUCGAACGGAAAGGCCCCUUUGGGGGUACUCGAGUGGCGAACGGGUGAGUAACACGUGAGUAACCUGCCCUUGACUUCGGGAUAACUUCAGGAAACUGGGGCUAAUACCGGAUAGGAAUCCUUGCUGCAUGGUGGGGGUUGGAAAGCUUCGGCGGUUUUGGAUGGACUCGCGGCUUAUCAGCUUGUUGGUGGGGUAGUGGCUUACCAAGGCUUUGACGGGUAGCCGGCCUGAGAGGGCGACCGGCCACAUUGGGACUGAGAUACGGCCCAGACUCCUACGGGAGGCAGCAGUGGGGAAUAUUGCACAAGGGGCGGAAGCCUGAUGCAGCAACGCCGCGUGCGGGAUGACGGCCUUCGGGUUGUAAACCGCUUUCAGCAGGGGCGAAGCUUGUGGUGACGGUACCUGCAGAAGAAGCACCGGCUAACUACGUG